rnacentral:lncRNA from 1 species
GAACUUUCUGUAGCUUGGGAAAGUAAAAUCCUUCUGCCUGAAUGGCAAGAUCCUUCCAAUGCUUCCCAAAACAGAGUUCUUAUACUUCUCAGUUCCAGCAACAUGAGACAAGAUCUGCAGCAUUCUGGUCCCCGGGAUCAUGUCAUCAUCCACAACAUAGACUAGAUCAGACUCAGUCUGCAGAGCCAUCUGGAACCUCCCGUAGUACUUGAAAUCGUAGGUGGAGCUCACGAAGCUGAUUCGUGAAUCGUUGUAGCUAUCGACGAUCCUCUUGAGAGAGAGCUCGUUAGGGGACCCAAAUGCAAGCACCCAAACGUGGUGGAACGGCA